rnacentral:rRNA from 1 species
UACAGAGAGUGCGAGCGUUAAUCGGAAUUACUGGGCGUAAAGGGCGCGUAGGCGGAAUGACAAGUCAGAUGUGAAAGACCUGAGCUUAACUUGGGAGGGUCAUCUGAAACGGUCAUUCUAGAGUAAUAGAGAGGUAAGCGGAAUUUCCGGUGUAGCGGUGAAAUGCGCAGAUAUCGGGAGGAACACCGAUGGCGAAGGCAGCACUCUGGGCCGGCACUGACGCUGAGGAGCGAAAGCGUGGGGAGCGAACAGG